rnacentral:rRNA from 1 species
GUCGAGCGAACAGACGAGGAGCUUGCUCCUCUGACGUUAGCGGCGGACGGGUGAGUAACACGUGGAUAACCUACCUAUAAGACUGGGAUAACUUCGGGAAACCGGAGCUAAUACCGGAUAAUAUAUUGAACCGCAUGGUUCAAUAGUGAAAGACGGUUUUGCUGUCACUUAUAGAUGGAUCCGCGCCGCAUUAGCUAGUUGGUAAGGUAACGGCUUACCAAGGCGACGAUGCGUAGCCGAACUGAGAGGGUGAUCGGCCACACUGGAACUGAGACACGGUCCAGACUCCUACGGGAGGCAGCAGUAGGGAAUCUUCCGCAAUGGGCGAAAGCCUGACGGAGCAACGCCGCGUGAGUGAUGAAGGUCUUCGGAUCGUAAAACUCUGUUAUUAGGGAAGAACAAAUGUGUAAGUAACUAUGCACGUCUUGACGGUACCUAAUCAGAAAGCCACGGCUAACUACGUGCCAGCAGCCGCGGUAAUACGUAGGUGGCAAGCGUUAUCCGGAAUUAUUGGGCGUAAAGCGCGCGUAGGCGGUUUUUUAAGUCUGAUGUGAAAGCCCACGGCUCAACCGUGGAGGGUCAUUGGAAACUGGAAAACUUGAGUGCAGAAGAGGAAAGUGGAAUUCCAUGUGUAGCGGUGAAAUGCGCAGAGAUAUGGGGGAACACCAGUGGCGAAGGCGACUUUCUGGUCUGUAACUGACGCUGAUGUGCGAAAGCGUGGGGAUCAAACAGGAUUA